AGAGUUUGAUCCUGGCUCAGAUUGAACGCUGGCGGUAUGCUUAACACAUGCAAGUCGAACGGAAACGACAAGAGCUUGCUCUUGGGCGUCGAGUGGCGGACGGGUGAGUAACGCGUAGGAAUCUGCCUAGUAGUGGGGGAUAGCCCAAGGAAACUUGGAUUAAUACCGCAUAAUAUCUAUGGAUUAAAGUGGAGGAUCUUCGGACUUCACGCUACUAGAUGAGCCUGCGUAAGAUUAGUUAGUUGGUGAGGUAAAAGCUCACCAAGGCGACGAUCUUUAGCUGGUCUGAGAGGAUGAUCAGCCACACUGGGACUGAGACACGGCCCAGACUCCUACGGGAGGCAGCAGUGGGGAAUAUUGGACAAUGGGGGCAACCCUGAUCCAGCAAUACCGCGUGUGUGAAGAAGGCCUGAGGGUUGUAAAGCA
rnacentral:rRNA from 1 species